CAUGUCGAAGAUCUUGUCUUUCUCCACGUGAUCGCUGCCGUGUCAUGAAGCAUCUGAGUAUGAGCUGCAGCCAGUUGGUGGAAGGUGUGAACAUGUUAGCUGUUGAAUCAGUUUGAGGCGUCUCAUGCAGAAACCAAAAAUGAUAAGGAUUCCAUGGUCAGUUUGAUGUUUGUGGUGUUGCUGUUUGGUGUGAAGUGGGUUUGCAGUUAUUUUCCACUUGAAAGAUGCGCUGAAAUGGAGCUUCGUCAUCCUUGCAGUUCAACAUCAUACUUCAAUGUGUUAUUUCUCUAUGUUUGUGUCCGUGCUGUGUUGAACUGUUGGGCAUAACAGUCAAUGUUGUCUUAUGGCUGUCAGACAUAUUUUGUCGGCUGCAUUUUGUCAACGUGUCGUCUCUUGCUACCUGUACUGGCGUUGAGGUAGUGCUUGAUGAAAAGUAUCAUUUAGUUUUUCAGUCGUUAUUGCAGCCUAAGCUGGUGAAAGAUCUUUUUGCAUCAAGU